GGGGUUGUGGCUCAGAGGAAGAGUGCUCACUUAGUAUGUGUGAGACACUGGGUUCGAUCUUCAGCACCACA
rnacentral:tRNA from 1 species